ACCCUUAUGUUUUCAGCACACACUUCCAAGCUUGAUUUCCAUGCAUAUUAUUAUUAUUAUUAUUUUUGUUUCUCUUUGGUAGCUACAUGACCAAGUUUCUCCGGUACUUUCUGUGUGGUGGUCAGACAGCCAUGCACGUGCUCCAGCCCUUCUGUUACCCAGCUGACUGUGAAGCCAACAUCAGCCAAGCCAGUAUCAUUUGCCCAAUUCCAGCUAAGUUCCCUCAGUUUUCAGCUGUCAACCAGGAUAUUUUAGUACGUGGUGUGGGGUAGUCCAGAAAUAUCCCCUCCGCAGUGGGAGGUAACCAGCUCUUUUUCAAGAGACAAUUGCGUUUCAAUUUAAAUUGGUUUCUUUUUGUCUCAAUGAGCUCUUACACAAUUCUGAUGAAAAUUCCUAGUGGGAACAGAGCAGGGAUCCCAGGAGCCUUUUCAGAGGCCGCGGCCGCAGGUCCCCGUGCCAGCCGGGUCGUUUCUCUGCCCGUUUUGUCUCUUUGCCCACGAAGAGCGAAUGAUCCGCGCAGAGCAGGGCGUCGUUUGCUUGAUCGCGAAGUAGCUAUGCACAGUCACCAUCCGGCUUCACCCGGGCUCAAUUAUUUAGCAAGAUGCGUUCGUGUCCAACUCCUGACUGCAGCUGGAUCUCACUGGGACUGUUACAGAUCCACCCAAGAGAACACAAAGCUAACACGAUCGUCACCACUAAAGCGAACGGACACCAAACAGAUCCGCCGUACCCUUCCCUCCUGCUAAGUUUCUAGCUGUUGCGGUACUGGGGAGUCAGCAGCCGGGUCCCGUCCGCCACCAUUGCGUCCUGGUCUCUGUAGUCCCGCAAGCUUUGCAAGAAAGACUUCGUCCCUUCUGGGUGACGCUCUCCGGGGAGGCAGGUAGGCUCCGGGUGGUCUCCCCCGGAGGUUUAGCACGCGGGGGCUCGUUUGGUUGGGUGGGGAAGCCUCAGGCCCAGGAAAUUCGCUCGCUUCACCUUUGCCUUGCCGUGUGCACCGAUUUGCCAGCCACCAUUCGCAAGCCGAGAGCCGCGCCGUGUGCGUUACGUCCAUUCUGUCGCUGCACCGCUAGCCCAGAGACUCGUGUGGACUCUUCCAGCACCGCAGGUGUCAUUCCUGUCCGGCGUUUUCUUUCCCAUGGUGUUGCAUUCAGCGUUUUGUCUCUGUUCUGUCUUCACUUCCAAGAGGAUCUGAGUUGGUACAAACAUGUACAGUAAACACACUUUGUGAUUUGUACAAUUCCCUGGUUGCCAUCCUUGAAGACACUUGCUGGGAAGAUCUUUAAGACACUUAAUUUUCCUUUAGCUUUUCUAUAAUUCCGAUGUAAAGGACUUUCUCUGUACAGUAUAUUAUUCAAUGCAUGUUCUGUUCUCUCUACUGAUAUAUUGAACACCACACAGUUGUGAUAUUGUGCAGUGGGGAGAGCAACCCCUGCCGACAGCGGAGGCCUUCGCCUCUCAUGUAAAAGGAAAGAAGAAAACAUAUUUUUUCCUUUGCUGUAUUUGCUUGAGCAGAGUUUUCUUGUCUGUACAUGUGAGCUGUGAGAUAGAUGUGAAAAGUUCAAAAGAAUGCAUUUCCCCCCCGCCCCAAUGUAUACAGAUUGUAAUCUGUACAAUGAAAACUGUAUGUAUGAAAAAAAAAAAUGUACUUAUUUAUAAAUGGUUAACACUUGGAAGCAGCCUGUGGACUGGUGUUUUUCCCACCCUGCUGCCCAAAAUGUCUCAGCCUCGCGGCUCCCGGGGGGCAGA
rnacentral:lncRNA from 1 species